ACCCGCACAAGCAGCGGAGCGUGUGGUUUAAUUCGUUGCUACACGAAGAACCUUACCUGGGUUUGACAUAUAAGUUGUAGGGAACUGAAAAGGGACCGACCCUUCGGGGAGCUUAUACAGGUGUUGCAUGGCUGUCGUCAGCUCGUGUCGUGAGAUGUUCGGUUAAGUCCGCUAACGAGCGCAACCCUCGCCGUAUGUUACAAGUGUCAUACGGGACUGCCGGUAAAAGCCGGAGGAAGGUGAGGAUGAUGUCAAGUCAGCAUGACCUUUAUAUCCAGGGCUACACACACGCUACAAUGGUCUGUACAAUUGGUUGCCAAGCCGCGAGGCGGAGCCAAUCCGUAAAGCAGGCCUCAAUUCAGAUUGCAGUCUGCAACUCGACUGCAUGAAGCCGGAGUUGCUAGUAACCGCAGGUCAGCAAUACUGCGGUGAAUACGUUCCCGGGUCUU
rnacentral:rRNA from 1 species